UGCCCCCACCUGCUGAGCUGGGAUAAUAUAUCAUGAUACUAUGAUCAUCCCCAUCAAUAGGCUUCUCCACAAAUGGCUUCCAAAAACGAUUGCCAUGAACCUCAACAAAAUCUUCUUCCUCAAUAAAAUAAUCCAGUUCUUGAUAUGGAAAUUCUCUAUUAACAAGGGCAUAUCUUGGAACAGGGAUUCCGUAAACUUCAAGAUGCU
rnacentral:misc_RNA from 1 species